AAUUUUGGACAAUGGGGGAAACCCUGAUCCAGCCAUCCCGCGUGUAUGAUGAAGGCCUUCGGGUUGAAAAGUACUUUUGGCAGAAACGAAAAGGUACCUCCUAAUACGAGGUACUGCUGACGGUAUCUGCAGAUGAAGCACCGGCUAACUACGUGCCAGAAGCCGCGGUAAUACGUAGGGUGCAAGCGUUAAUCAGAAUUACUGGGCGUAAAGCGUGUUAAGGCGGUUCGGAAAGAAAGAUGUGAAAUCCCAGGGCUCAACCUUGGAACUGCAUUUUUAACUGCCGAGCUAGAGUAUGUCAGAGGGGGGUAGAAUUCCACGUGUAGCAGUGAAAUGCGUAGAUAUGUGGAGGAAUACCGAUGGCGAAGGCAGCCCCCUGGGAUAAUACUGACGCUCAGACACGAAAGCGUGGGGAGCAAACAG
rnacentral:rRNA from 1 species